GUUCAAGGGUGGGCUUGUAACCUAGUUUUGACCAAUGAGAUGUCACUUCCCCUGGAGGUUUCUGGGAAAGUUUUUUGUUAAUCCUGAAAAGGAGGGAGAAGAGGAUCAUUUCUUCACCUGGACACUGUCAUUUCUGCAUGUGACGUCUGGAACCUAUGUAUUCAUCUUGGGACUUAAAAGAAUUAAGGAGAGGACAGAGCUGAUCUAUUGUAAAUGAUGACAUGCAACUGGGGAAUGCUUUGUCCCUUGCGUUGUUUCAGAGUUACUGAAUUACCGACUUGGAGGGGCUCCAAUUUUGUGUUAGUCAUUUUCUCUUGGAAACUGGAUCUGACUCCCAUAAAGAAGCCCAUGCUAACCUGCUAAAGAAUAAGACCAUACGGAAGAAAGAUGAGUUGUUUAACUGGGGCCAUUCUGGACUAUCCAGCCUACAGCAAACCCGCCAGCUGACUGUAGAUGCGGGAGCAAACCCAGCCAAGAUCAGCCAAGAUCAGCCAAUCCCAGCAAAGACAAGAAGAACAUCCUAGGUGGCCAAUAAACUUUUGAUCAAAAUAAAUCCUUUAUGUUCUACACCACA
rnacentral:lncRNA from 1 species